GCCAGGAUGGCCGAGCGCAUGGCGCGUUGGGGAAGAAGACCUGGGGUGCGUCGGAUCGGAAGGAAGUGCCAAGAUUGGAACAUGUGAAGCGCUUCGUUCGUGAUCGUGGAUCCUGGAUCUAAGGACUAGUAUGUCUUGCAUGCAUGGGGAUCCUCGGUCGUCGGUUGUAGAUCCAAUUCUCAAGAUUGCAUACCGGUUUGAUGAGGUAACGAUCUAAUCUGGGCCGCCCACUACAUAUCUUAUGGCUAAGGUUU
rnacentral:lncRNA from 7 species